rnacentral:lncRNA from 1 species
GUUCGUUCUUUAAAAAUCAACUUUUGUGAUUCCAACAUAAUUGGAAUUCGUGAUUCCAUUCCAAUAGAAUUGGAAUCUCACCAAUAUCAUCCAUUGAAUCAUCUACAUAAACAUACUUGAUACCUUUUUCAGAAUUCAACCUUGUCAAGAUCCUGCACUGUCGACAUAAAUGAAGUGUUAAAUCAGAAAAAAAAAAAAUGAAAGAUGAAUCAAUUCAUAAAAUGCAGCCAAAAAAUUGCUCAUUCUGAUAUCUAUAUUAGUCCCAAAUAAAAUUUAACCACUAAAGGAUGUUAUCUGUGAAUUAGAAAUAAAAAAAUCAAAUCCCUAGCUUUCAACAACUAAACCAAAACCAAAGCUAUACACAAAAAACUUAUACCCAAUCACACAUAAAGGAAAUAUAAAACCACACACAAAAAGAAAAAAAAAUCGAAUCACUUCUGUGUUUCUUCUUCUUCUUCUACGUUUUCUGUCAAAUGAUCAAACCAAACACAAAUUCUUCCCUUUGAUUUCUAUCAAUCAUUCAAACAAAAAUAAAAAGGGAAAAGAAACUGUUAACAAACGGAAGCAACACCCCAUCCUUCCCUCUUCCCCUGUUGAACAUCGAAACCAAACACACCCAAAAAAACCUUAUCGAUCACUAUCAAACAUCAAACAAAAAAAAAUAAAUGAAUCAAAAGGAUUACAUGUUGCUGCUUCGUCCUUACCCUUCAAUCCAACUAUUUCCCAAUUCCUUCAUGUUUAUUUCCGAUCGAACCAGGAGAAGAGCAGCAAAGAACAGCCCCACCAAAUCCUCAAUCUGAAAACCCUUGAAUCUACCUAAAUUGUUAUGGACUACAUGUAAACAAUCGUAAUUCACAGAAAUGAAUCACGAUUUUUGUUAGGAAAGCGAAACCCUUACCUGCAGAAGCUGGCGGAUGCGAAGGCGUGAAUGGAGAAGUUGUUGGGGUUAGUGGGGAAGCCAGCAACGGAGACAGUGCAAGUUAGAGGGUGGCGAAGACCAAAAUUUGGAGAUGGAGGAGAAACGAGUGGGAAGGAGAAAGAAUGGAGGGCCGAAGAUGCGUUUUUAGGGCAAUAAAAGACGCGAAUGCUUGAAUCUCCUUCCCUUUUCGCCCAUCGCACCACCAUUUUUGUCUUGGAUUGCCAAUGAACAUCUUCCAGGGGUUGAUGUCACUUCGAUCGAACCAACUCUCGCACCCAUCACUUUUUCUUACAUGGAAAUCUCAAUCGACAAAAG